rnacentral:lncRNA from 10 species
AUGGGGUUUCACCAUGUUGGCCAGGAUGGUCUUGAUGGUCUCGAUGUCUUGACCUCGUGAUCCGCUCACCUCGGCUCCCAAAGUGCUGCAGUUACAGGCUUGAGCCAGUGGGCCCAGCCCCUGGAAGAUUUUCUGGGCAUUCUUCUUGUCUUCCUUCCUCUCCCCACCAAAGUGAAGUCAGAGUUCUGGGCUAUGCACUUCCACCAGCCCCUUGCUCUUCUCUUUAUCUGUGCAUCACCUCGAUGGUAUUGGGAUUGUCUGUUUAGUGCUUGGUUUUCCACACUAGACUUCAGCUGUGCAGUGCAGGACCAUGUUUAAUUUGUCUGUGCACCCCAGCCCCAGUGAGGAUGCCAGACACACAGUUAGAAUGCAGUAACUUUUGGUGAAGUGCAGCUAGAAACCUACAAGUGAGUGGGGCUAGAAACCUUCAGAAUUUGGGCAAGAGAUGUGGACUGGUGGAUAAAGCUUAGAUUAGACUAAUAACAUUAAUCUGUUGGAAAGAGAUAUGCCAAGCUGCUUUUUAAGAAACUAUUUAAUAUUUGUUUGUAGUUUUUUUCUUUGAGGUAAAACUUACAUACAAUGAAACUAUACAAUGAAACAUACAUAUUAACUGUAUUUUUUCGUCUUGUCAAAUGCAUCUACUGAUGUAACCCAGACUCCAAUCAAGAUAUGAAGCAUUACCAGUAACCCAGAAAAUUUCCUCCUGCCUUUUCCCAGGUGAUACCUGCCCCAGCUCCUAGAGGUGCAACUUGACUAACACCCCCCUUUCAAGAACAGCAUGCAGGGCACUCCCUGAUAAAAAUAGUAUAUAUAUUGGGACAGUAAGAGACAGUGUUCACUUUCAGGUCUUGGAGGUGGUGGGAGAAGUAUUUGAUAUUGCUCCCCUGUCAGCCACU